ACCUGCGGAAGGAUCAUUAACGCGGUCGGUUCCGAGAGCGGCGCGGGGGCCUCGCCGCCCCCCCGCCCCCGCCCGGCUCGCGAGCCUCUCAUCCGCCCGUGCGGCGCGGGAUGGGACGGGAGGAGGGGAGAGGGGGGGAGAACGAGACGCGUCCGGAGGGCGCCCCGCCCCCCACGGGCGGUCGGGGCCGGUUGGGGGCUACUCCCCGGUGUUUCUGGGGGCGAGGAGCCGCGCGAGAGAGGUGGGGUGGGGGCGGCGUGGCAGAGUGUGGGGAUCGGGUGGGAAGAGGCGGGUUCUCCUCCGCCUGCUUGCCCGCCCGCGCCCCUCCUCCCGCCGCCGGCCCCUCCGCGCCUCCGUUCCCCCCCGGCCGGGGGCGCCCCGCCACCCUGCCCCGCGCCCGGUGGCGUCGCCCUCCGGCGUGUGUCCCCUCUUCCCGAUAGCCCGGCCCUCCCCGCCACGUCCCUCGAGGUUGGCCCGAGGGUUCGGGGGUGGGGUGGUGAGGGGGUUGCUCCGCAAGCUCCCCCCGCCCCCACCCCACCCCACGCGCCUUUCGCCCGUGGCGCCGGCCACGACUGCCUCCCACCACCCCCUCCCCACAAAGGCCGCGGAUCCGCGCGGCGCGGAUCCUCCGGUCGCGUCUGGCGGGCUGUGCGGCGUGGCGGGCGGCGGCUCCCCGUCGCGGGGCCGCUUGCCUUGCCCCGCCGCCUCCCGUCGCCGGCCCUGGGCCGGUCUGCCUCGGCCGGUCGCCGGCCGGCCGUCCGCCGCUGUGGGCCUGCCGCGCCGUUCGCCAGGCGCCUGGCCUCCCCCACGCCUUCCGAGCCUCGGGGCUUUCUCCCGCCCCGUCCUCCACCCCCCACGCCUCCCGCGGUCGUCUGUCCGGUUCUCCCGCCCUCUUUUCGCUUCUCCGUACCUCUGACGUGUCCCCUGCCCGCUUGGCGCCCAGCUCCCCGUCGGAGCCCCUUCCCUCCGCCCUCGGUGGUGGUGUGGGGGGAAGGGUGCCCGGGAGCGCGGGUUCGGGUAGGGGCCCCCCAGCGGAUGGGCUGGGGCAAGAGGACGGGGUCCGGCGGGGCCGGCCGCAGCACCGGGUGUGUGAGGGUUGGAGGGGCGGGGGCGGGCUCUGCCCCCGUCUCGGGGGGGACGGCGGGGGGGUGGUCGUCUGGCGUCGGCGGGGCCCUCCGGGCGGCGGUCGGCCGGCGCGCGGCGGGGCAACCCCUGCGGUCACGGGCCGGCGGCGCCGAGGCCCGCGUGUGGCCGCGGGCCCGGUUGGGGCGGGGAGGGGGGACGCGGCGGUUGGGGGUCGAUGUCGGGGCGUUGGCCCGUGGGGCGUGCCGUGCCCCUCGCCCGCCUCACCCUUUCCAGGUACCUAGCGCGUCCCGGCGCGGAGGUUUAAAGACCCCUGGGGGGUUGUCGCCCAUCCGCCUUGGGGUCGGGGCGGUCGGGCCCGCGGGGAGUAGUCGGGAGCUGCCUCCCGUCUCCCCCCAGACCCCGCCGUCCCCCGAGGGGACGGGGUGGCGCGCGGCGUGGCGCGCCACGGUCACUGCCGCCGCGGCCGUCGGGAGGGGGCUACCCGACGGCCGUCGUGUGGGCCGUGGCCGUGUGCGGCGGCGCGUGCGCGCGCUGCCCCGCGUCCCUGGGGGAGGGUUGGGAGCCCCCCGGGCGCCUGUGGGGUUGUCCGAGCCCGCCCUGGCGGCUUGGCGCCGGACGCCCCGUCGUGUGAAACCUUUCCCGACCCCUCCGGUCUGCUGUUUUCUGUCUGACUUGGCCGGCCAGAGGCAACCCCCUCCCCCAACUCCCACCUCCGGGGAGGGAGGCGGGGGUGGGUGGGAUGUGCCGCGCCAGGGGCGGGUCUCCCGCCGAAACGAAACCCUUGAAAACCUCGUACGACUCUUAGCGGUGAUCACUCGGCUCGUGCGUCGAUGA
rnacentral:lncRNA from 1 species